rnacentral:rRNA from 1 species
AGAACGAACGCUGGCGGCGUGGAUAAGACAUGCAAGUCGGACGCGAUUUAUCCGGUUAGCAAUAACUGGGUGGAUUGAGUGGCGAAAGGGUGCGUAACACGUGGGAAUUUACCAAGAAGUGGGGAAUAGCUCGACGAAAGUCGAAUUAAUACCGCAUGUGAUCGUAAGAUCAAAGCCGGGGACCGCAAGGCCUGGCGCUUUUUGAGAAGCCCGCGGCCCAUCAGCUAGUUGGCGAGGUAAUGGCUCACCAAGGCUAUGACGGGUAGCUGGUCUGAGAGGACGACCAGCCACACUGGAACUGAGACACGGUCCAGACACCUACGGGUGGCAGCAGUCGAGAAUUUUUUCACAA